GUUCUGCUCUUGAUCUUUCAGAAAAUUAAAUCAAGCCCAUCCAGAUUAUAGAAGAAAAUCAACUGAUUUUGGACUUUGAUCAUAAUAUCUAGAAGAUAUCUUCACAGCAAUGCCUAGGCAACUUACUUCAAGAAAGGAAAUAUACAAAGCAAUUAAGAAUGUGGACCUAAGCCACAUUUGUGUGUUCCAAUCCUAGUCCCACAAGUUGCUAUCAUUAACUGGAAACUAAAUCAAUCAUCUAUAGUAAGGAUCAAAUGCAAGAAAAGCAAUAUGAAGGAAGGAAAAAAGAAAGAGAGAUGAAGAAAACAAAGAAAAAGAAAAAGAAGAGGAAAAGAAAAGAGAGGAAGAAGAAAGGCGAAUACCAAGUUCAAGCUCCUAAGGCCGGCACCCACACUCAGUGGGUCCCAGCUAGGCCUGCAAUGCCAUAUGCAUGUUUGCAGGCUGGCCACUGUUGCAUAGUACCAAGGAAACAUUGCAGUGACUGCAGUGCCACUCUAUACAGAUAAGUCCUAGUCAUUUUUCUAUAACCAAUGUACCAUGGAGCAACAUGGUAUCUGUGACAGCAAAUAUUGUACCUAGAACCUGGAUGAGAUGCAUGUAAUGCACCUUUUUUAAAAUGUUUUAUUUAUUUA